UGAGCCGAAGGCAGACGCCCAACCAUCUGAGCCACCCAGGGAGGAAGAGCCAAAUCAGAUCUCAGCAGCCACAAGGUCAGUCUAUGGCAGCCACGUCUGGGGAGAAGCACCCACUACCCAUACAGAAGGAAGAGUGUUAAGGAAUCAAGUGUCGCUGGCAUCACCCCACAUCGUGCACAUCACCUGCCAAAAGGCAGCAAAAGUAGGGCAGGUGCACAGCCUCAGCAGUGAGCCGCGGGCUUUCCGAGCCAGAUCCAGAGCCAGAGGUGGCUGAGAGCCCACGAGUGGCAGUGGGGGCUGCUGCUCCAAGAACACAACCACAACCCCCGGCCUCCAGCCAGUUCUCCUUGAGAAUGCCCGGACCUCCAAGCCUUCAGGAGAGCUAGGAGCACAGCUAGAAUGGGAGAUGGGGAUGGGAGGUCCCUGUAACCCAGUGCUUCUGGGUGGCUGACCGGAGGAAUGUCUUGCCCACCCACAGACACCCGGAGGGCCUACCUUGCCAGCUGGCCACACCGGUUCCAUAGGCACCUUAGAGGGAACAAAAACACACAAAAGCUUUGUAUACAGAAUGAAGGUACCUGAGAUAGCCCCUGCCAAUCGUCACCUCCACCACCCGCAAGUCCAGGGCCACGGGCGGCUGUGGCAGUGCUGUGGGAGGCACCCCUGGUUGUCCAUUAAGGCCAGGAAUGGCUCGGGCCCACUAGCUGUAAAACUCAUUUCCUAUGGAGCACUCAGCUAAGCAUAACCAACACUUCUCUAAUAGACAAGCCUCAUCUCCCCCAGCAGGAAAACAGAAAGGACGCUGCAGCAUUCCCAGGAAGUGUUCAGCGUGGGCCACGAGCCAAGAGGCCAGAUCCCCUGGCAGAGCCCUUCGAAAGUGCCAGUUCUCACCAGUAGCCAGAGCUCAGGCACCACUAGCACAGACAAUGCAUCAGUGGAAAAUCAUGUCCCUAACUCAAAUGAACAAGGGGACAUUAUGUACCCUGGUGACAUGGAAGGCCUCCUCCUGGAAAACUUGGUGAUGGGUGAAAAAGUGACUCCACCACCCCCAAUGGUGCUAAGGGCAAGUUCCAGGCUCAGAAAACAGAGCUUUCAUCCCAUCCCCUGGAACAAAUGCUGGCAAAAAGCAGAAAACCUCACCACCAGGGAGGACAUUCUGGUCCUUCAAACAUACAGAGCAUCGUGAUCUAGAUUCCAGAGCAGGGGCAGCAAUCAGGCCCCCAUGCCAAAUCUAGCCCAUUGCCUGUUUUUGUACGGCCAACAAGCUAAGAAUGGGUUUUACUUUUUUAAAUGGUUGGGAGAUUAAAAAAAAAAAAAUUUUAUGACAUGAAAUGAAUUCUUUGCGUCGUCCUUCAUAUACUUGUCAAAACUCACAGAACUGUGCAAGCAAUGACUGUUAACUGUGGAUCAUAACUAACAACAGAGUAUCAACAUUGACUUGUUACUGACAAUAAAUGUAUCUUACUAACGGAAAAUAUUAAUAAUAAGGGAAACUCCUGGGGUGAAAAGUAGAGGGGGCAUAUGGAAUCCUGUACUAUCUGCUCAAUCCCCCCAAAAGUCUAAAACUAUUAAAAAAUAAAGUCUAUCAAUCAUAAAAAU